rnacentral:lncRNA from 1 species
UUUCGUGCUGGGCUAGCCUGUAAAGCACGGGCACAAUGUGCGUCCUGUGCCGGCCCACACGACCUGCAUCGCGAGCGCCCCCGCCCCCUCGCUUGGCUCCUAUCGUACCCGCCUACGCCGUGCCGCCGCAUGUCUCUCCAUGCGCACCCCAUGCGCACCGCAGCUUGCCAGCUUGCUGGUGCCACCCCCAGGACCCAGCUCACCGUCGCAUGCUAGCUCACCACCGUUGCCCCCGUGCGUCGCUGCCUA